GGGUUUUUGGGAUAUUUUUGAAAGAAAAAUUGAAAACCGGAAGUCGAAAUGCAAUUUAGAAAAGUUUUGCAACAUAGGAUGCCCAGUUAGCAGCCCCAACGAACCAGAACGAGCCGCGUGGUAACGGGCACUGAUGCGGUGCCAUGCGAGAGGCCACGCGGGCGAUCCGCGUGCCCGUGAUCGAAUUACUUAGAUCCGUUCCCGCGCACACGAACGGCUCAAAUGCAUUCCCUCCACAAACGCGAUCAGACGGUUAAAUUUAAACGCGAUCAGACAGUUCAGAUUAAAUCGCAAUGAACGGACCAGAUUAGAUCGCGAUGAACGGCUCAGAUUCACUCCCUAUUUAAUCGCGAUCAGACAGUACAGAUCAAACGCGAUGGGCAACCUAGAUUAAAAGGGGAUGAUUAUAAAUAACCUUUUUCACACCAAACUCUAACCCUAGCCGCCAAUCGCCUCACCGGAGAAGAAGACCCAGCCGCCGGAAAAGAGAGCCGGCGCCACCCGCCACCGCGCCAGAGCUACUUCCGACCGCCAAAAGAGCUAAAAAAUUUUCUUUUUGCUUAGAAUUCAAUUUUAAACACCCUCAUGGCCAAAUCGGAGUAAAAGGACUAGCCGAUUGGCCCGAAAUCACAGGUAAAGCACGGUGUCGCCGCCGCAGGGAUUUUCACAAAACGCCUCCGAUGAGGCCCUUCCCGAUUCUCGUUCUGUGUAAUUUUUCCACCACUGUGAUCACAGUAUCCUUUUCUACAGGUUGAUCAGAGCAAAAUAUCCAACCGCAACGUGAGCUGGAAGAGCCGCCGCACCGGAGAGCUCCACUGCCGGUGAGUUUUGAUUCUUUAUGUUUUUCAGGCAAUUGAGGCCUCCUUACGUAUUUUCUCGCAGGAAUUGAUGCAAAACUGGCCAAAUUCGAUCGAAAACGGCCGAAAAUAGCCAACCCGAGGCGGACCACCGCCGUGCCGAAAUUCCAGAAUUGGCCAAAAUGGGCCCUGAAACUGAUUUUGGCUUUGUUUGGGACAUUUGUAGGUAUUUAUAGCGCGUUCUAAUUCCCGAAGAAAAAUUCAGGGAAUCCGGGAACCACCAGUAUAUGUAGUCAGCAAUUUAGUCUU
rnacentral:lncRNA from 1 species